rnacentral:lncRNA from 1 species
GCGGCCUCUCCGUUCCGGCUCUUCGUAGGCGAUGCCGAUGCCGAGGCUGUGACUGACACUCUCGCUCCCACGCACGCACCGACCCGGACCCACGCCGGGAGCCCGAGCCCUGGGCCCACAACCGCUCUCUCCUACGGCACCGCGCCCACAGCCCGGACCACGGCUCCCGCGCCGCUGCCGUCACCUCGCGGAGAAGGGUCGCGCCGGACCUCGAGCUUGGCGGCCCCCGGCCGGCCAGGAUGGGGAAGCGGGCGGGAGGAGGAGCAGCCGCCGCCGCCGCCUCCGCGUCCUCCGGGGCCCGGCUGGAGCCCGCGGCCGGCCGCGGCGGGGGUCCUCGGAGCGCGGCCG